AGCAGCCGCGGUAAUUCCAGCUCCAAUAGCGUAUAUUAAAGUUGUUGCAGUUAAAAAGCUCGUAGUUGAAUUUCGGGAUCAAUAUGUCGGUCGUGCCUUCGGUACGUACUGGUAUCAUUGGUCUCUCCUUUCUGACGAACCAUGAUGUCAUUAAUUUGGUGUUAUGGGGAGUUAGGACUGUUACUUUGAAAAAAUUAGAGUGUUUAAAGCAGGCUUUAGCUUGAAUACAUUAGCAUGGAAUAAUGAAAUAGGACGUUCGAACCUAUUUUGUUGGUUUCUAGGAUCAACGUAAUGAUUAAUAGGGAUAGUUGGGGGCAUUAGUAUUCAAUUGUCAGGGGUGAAAUUCUUGGAUUUAUUGAAGACUAACUACUGCGAAAGCAUUUGCCAAGGAUGUUUUCAUUAAUCAAGAACGAAAGUUAGGGGAUCGAAGACGAUCAGAUACCGUCGUAGUCUUAACCAUAAACUAUGCCGACUGGGGAUCGGAUGAUGUUAAUUUUUAAUGACUCAUUCGGCGCCUUAC
rnacentral:rRNA from 1 species